rnacentral:rRNA from 1 species
GACGAAGGGGGGCGGGCGUUAUCCAUGAUGACUGGGCGUAAAGGGCGCGUAGGCGGAUGGUACAGUCAGACGUGAAAUUCCUGGGCUCAACCUGGGGGCUGCGUUUGAUACGUGCUGUCUGGAGUUCGGAAGAGGGUCGUGGAAUUCCCAGUGUAGAGGUGAAAUUCGUAGAUAUUGGGAAGAACACCGGUGGCGAAGGCGGCGACCUGGUCCGAUACUGACGCUGAGGCGCGAAAGCGUGGGGAGCAAACAGG